GGGGCAUAGAUUAGUGGUAAAGCAUCUGUUUUGCAUGCAGAAGGUUCCAGGAUCAGUCCCUGCCAUCUUCA
rnacentral:tRNA from 1 species